AAAACAUCUCCUCUUGAGAAGCAAUAAUUAUAAGAGGUAGGCCCUGCCCGGUGCUUUCGUAAACGGCGGCCGUUCACAGCGGUUUUAAUGUAGCGCAAUUUCUUGCCCUUUAAUUGGGGGAGGGAGGAAUGGGUUGACGUGGGGGAUCUGUCUCCUAAGCAGUAUGUGUAAAAAUUUUCUUCUUAGUGAAAAGCCUGAGAUUUAUUUAAAAGACGAGAAGACCCUGUCGAGCUUGAUGGCUGUUUGGCAUUGCCAAAACAGGAAGUUUAGUUGGGGCAACUCUGGAGAAAGUAAAACCUCUGGACAUUUUGGAUAAAGAUCCAUUAAUUAAUGACUUUGUUAGAAGAAGUUACCGCAGGGAUAACAGCGCGGUGUCCCUUGAGAGGUCUUAUUAAAGGGGAAGAGUGCGACCUCGAUGUUGGAUUAGAAUUUCCUCCGGGCGCAGCAGCUGGAAGGGUGGGUCUGUUCGCCCCUUAAAAUUCUACAUGAUCUGAGUUCAAACCGGAGA
rnacentral:rRNA from 1 species